rnacentral:tRNA from 2 species
GCCGUGGUGGUGGAACUGGUAGACACGCUGUCUUGAGGGGGCAGUGGGAGUGAUCCCGUGCGGGUUCGAGUCCCGCCCUCGGCACCA